rnacentral:rRNA from 1 species
GGAGGGUGCAAGCGUUAUCCGGAUUCACUGGGUUUAAAGGGUGCGUAGGUGGGUCUGUAAGUCCGUGGUGAAAUCUCCGAGCUUAACUUGGAAACUGCCAUGGAUACUAUAGGUCUUGAAUACUGUGGAGGUCAGCGGAAUAUGUCAUGUAGCGGUGAAAUGCUUAGAUAUGACAUAGAACACCAAUUGCGAAGGCAGCUGGCUACACAAAUAUUGACACUGAGGCACGAAAGCGUGGGGAUCAAACAGGAUUAGAUACCCUGGUAGUCCACGCCCUAAACUAUGGAUACUCGACAUACGCGAUACACAGUGUGUGUCUGAGCGAAAGCAUUAAGUAUCCCACCUGGGAAGUACGAUCGCAAGAUUG